GCAUCACAACGGCUUCCUGGCGUGAUGCCUAAUUCAUAAUGGAGCA
rnacentral:ncRNA from 1 species